CCUACGGGGGGCAGCAGUGGGGAAUAUUGCACAAUGGGGGAAACCCUGAUGCAGCGACGCCGCGUGAGUGAAGAAGUAUUUCGGUAUGUAAAGCUCUAUCAGCAGGGAAGAAGAAAGACGGUACCUGACUCAGAAGCCCCGGCUAACUACGUGCCAGCAGCCGCGGUAAUACGUAGGGGGCAAGCGUUAUCCGGAUUUACUGGGGGUAAAGGGAGCGUAGACGGCUGUGCAAGUCUGAAGUGAAAGCCCAGGGCUCAACCCUGGGACUGCUUUGGAAACUGUGGGGCUAGAGUGCGGGAGAGGUAAGUGGAAUGCGUAGUGUAGCGGUGAAAUGCGUAGAUAUUAGGAGGAACACCAGUGGCGAAGGCGGCUUACUGGACAGUAACUGACGUUGAGGCUCGAAAGCGUGGGGAGCAAACAGGAUUAGAUACCCUGGUAGUC
rnacentral:rRNA from 1 species